CUAAGGAAGCCGACCCUGGUGGGUCCGGCACCUUCAAGUCCAGAUGGCGCAUCUCUGCCGCCGCCGGCGCAUCCCUUCUCGACGAUCCGGAACACCCGCUGACAGUGCAUCCGCACUGUCUCGGCCGGAUUGACGAGAAGCGCUUGGCGUUUUGAAAUUUUCAAAACGCGGGAUCUUUCAAAUCGUGAAUAAAGUCGAGUUUUAAGUGACCGAGGAUGCAUCUUCAUGAGCGUCCACGAGGCAGGAGCGGUUUGCCCCUGUGCGUGACGUUCGGAAUAGAG
rnacentral:misc_RNA from 1 species